rnacentral:piRNA from 1 species
UUUUUCCAUUAACAACUAUUA